rnacentral:antisense_RNA from 1 species
AGUGGCAUCAUUGCACUGUGACUGUGCAGGUCCCAAACAGUAUGGACAUGAAUGUCCUCAAGCUGCAUGUUAGCAGGGCUUCUAAUUCCAUCUGCAAGUGAUAGUGUGUGGAGCUUAGUCGCACAGAGCGCAUGUUACUGGAGGAGAUAUGGGUCUGUGUCAUCCUGCAUGGGAAUGAUCCUAAAAACAAAGUGAUCAGUGACUGCUCAGGACUGUGGAAAAGUCACCUGGAGCAGUGGGAAAAGGUCUGGCAGAGGAAUAAGAAGAUACAGGUCUUAGAACAAGCCCUGGGACUUCAACCAAGUCAUUUAACAUCUGGGGCCUUCGUUUAUUUAUCCUCCCAGCAGAUAAAGCAAUACCUGCCCUGUCUUCCUAACCUUGGAGGGGUCAAAAAAGUCAUGGGUGUGAAAGCAUUUUGUAAACUGUAGUGCAAGCAUACGGCAGGGGAGUGAACCAUACUUUCACUAGCGACUUGAAUGAGGUGAUAAAGAAAAGGCUCAGAACUUCAGAAAAUGCAAGAGGGGCUUGACCCUGGAUUGGCAGAGGAAAGCAAUGGUGGGAUCAAUACCUUGGAGGGCCAAGGACCAAGGGGUUAAGGGUCCAUGAGGACAGGCCUGGAUCAUCAGGAAGCUGAGUGUGGAUUCCAAGAAUCUCAAGGUUAGAGAAGUCGCCUAGUCCACCUCCCCUCUCUGCUUCUCACAGAAGGGUCUGCUGAACACUCUGGUGACAGAGAACUCACCCAACAUGUUCCAUGGCAGAGGCUUUUCAUUAGAUCAAGGUGACAUCUGUUUUACUGGAGCUUCCAACCACGUGUCCCAAUACUGCCCUUAGUCACAGGCAUCCAGGUCCUCUCUCUCAGGACAGCACUUUGAAUAAAUGAGGACAGCUCCCAUCCCCCUUUCUCCCAGUUGACUUUCCAGAAACAUCUCAUAUUGUUGUUGGCUUUCCACCAUUUUUCCUCUUCACUUUCUGGGCCUACUACACUGUGUGUCCUCCACUUGGUCUCUUCCUGAAAGCAACACUGUGCACAAUGUUCCUGGGGGCAGACUUAUUAAACCAAGUGGACCACUUCCUUCAUCUUAGGUGUCACAGCUCCAUCAAUGCAUCCUCAAAUCACAAUGAUUUUUCUGCACUUCACCCUACAGGUUCCGAUUUAACGUUAACAUUGGCUAGGACAUUACUCAUUUACACACAGGCUCUGCUGAGCCCCAUCUUUGCCAAGACUCUGACUUCUGUUGUUUCAUUUAAAGAUGUAAGAACAGGGCCUCACAGUCCUUCCUAAGGAAUUUUACUUUGUGGCUGGGUGCAGUGGCUCACACCUGUAAUUCCAGCACUUUGGGAGGCCAAGUCAGGUGGAUGACUUGAGGUCAGGAGUUCGAGACCAGCCUGGCCAUCAUGAUGAAACCCCACCUCUACUAAAAAUACAAAAAUUAGCCGGCUGUGGUGGCAAGCACCUAUAUCCCAGCUACUCGGCAGGUUGAGGCAGGAGAAUCGCUUGAGCCCGGGAGGCAGAGGUUGCAGUGAGCCGAGAUCACUGCACUCCAGCCUGGGCAACAGAGUGAGACUCCAUCUCAAAACAAACAAACAAACAAACAAACAAACAAAAAACAAAACAAAACAACAACAACAAAACCCAGAAAUUUUACUUUGCUACAUUCAGCCCACAAUUUUUAGCAACCCAGAUCUUUCUGGAUCCUGGCUGUAUCUUCUCAGUGUGUUUCUUCUUCCUCCCAGCUUCCUGACCCCUGCAAAUAGGGCUGUAAAGAGGCUCUCUGAUGCUGCACUCCCUCCCUCAUUGCCACCAUGCAAAUCACAGAGGACCACCAGGCCAGACUGGCUCAACUGCUUGAUGAAUGCACCAGCCCACUCUCCCAUCCCGGGAGGCCUGUCAGGCAUAAUGAUGUGGAACAUACUUGUUUUCUAUUCAGCUACGAAAGCAGGGUAUUAUCAAAUUUUAAAAGGCAUCGGCCAGGCACCGUGGCACAUACCUGUAAAACCAGGCACUUUGGGAGGCCAAAGUGGGUGGAUCGCUUGAGCCCAGGAGUUCAAGACCAGCCUGGGCAACAUGGCAAAACCCCGUCCCCUCUGCAAAACACACAAAAAUUAGCCGGGGAUGGUGGCACAGGCCUGUAGUCUCAGUUUCUCGGGAAGUUGAAGUGGAAGGAUCACUUCAGUCCGAGAGGCGGAGGUUGCAGUGAGCUGAAAUCCCACCACUGCACUCGGCCUGGCAGCCUGGGCAACAGAGAGAGACACUGCCUCAAAAAAAAAAAAAUAAAUAAAAGGCAUUGAGAAAAGAAAGGGAGGAAGGGAGGAUUUUGACAAAAAAUUAUCAAUAGUAACAGUGGCGUCUGUGUAACAGGACUAUAGGUUUGGCUUUUUAUUUAUUUAUUUAUUUAUUUUUGAUGGAAUCUUGCUCUGUCGCCCAGGCUGGAGUGCAGUGGUGCGAUCUCGGCUCACUGCAAACUCUGCCUCCCGGUUCAAGCGAUUCUCCUGCCUCAGCCUCCCAAGUAGCUGGGACUACAGGCGCCCGCCACCACGCUCGGCUAAUUUUUUGUAUUCUUAGUAGAGACGGGGUUUCACCGUGUUAGCCAGGAGGGUCUCUAUCUCUUGACCUCCUGAUCCGCCUGCCUCGGCCUCCCAAAGUGCUGAGAUUACAGGCGUGAGCCACCGCGCCUGGCCCCUUCAUGCGUCUUUACACGCUUCAUCCAACCAAUAGUUCAUGGAGGCCUUAGGUGUGUGUUUCCAAAUUUUCUAUGCUGAGUGUGUGUUCUUUGGAAAACUAGAAAAAAUAAAGCGAAAAAUAAAAUGAAAAUGAAUAAAGA